CCGGGGCCCCGGAAACCACAAAACAGGACUGAAUCCCCAUCUUCUUGUAUCACAACGGCUAGUUGUCUGCCAAAAUGUGUGCUUCCCCUCCGAGACCUGAGCUGUCACUGGAAGCAGCUACCCCAACAAGGACUCAAAUGCUAACUGGUGGAAGGAUUCAUUUGAAGAUGAGGCCCUAGGAAGGAGACUAACCAUAAGGUGGCAAGAGCUGGAUCCCUGAACUACAUACAGCCUGGA